rnacentral:rRNA from 1 species
UACAGAGGUCUCGAGCGUUAGUCGGAUUCAUUGGGCUUAAAGCGUGCGUAGGCGGAUGUGCAGGCGUCGUGUGAAAGCCCUCGGCCCAACCGGGGAAUUGCACGGCGAACCGCAUGUCUUGAGACAAGUAGGGGUGGUCGGAACGAUAGGUGGAGUGGUGAAAUGCGUUGAUAUCUAUCGGAACGCCAAAGGUGAAGACAGACCGCUGGGCUUGUUCUGACGCUGAGGCACGAAAGCGUGGGGAGCAAACGGG